UACGGGGGGGCAAGCGUUGUUCGGAAUUACUGGGCGUAAAGGGCUCGUAGGUGGCCAACUAAGUCAGACGUGAAAUCCCUCGGCUUAACCGGGGAACUGCGUCUGAUACUGGAUGGCUUGAGGUUGGGAGAGGGAUGCGGAAUUCCAGGUGUAGCGGUGAAAUGCGUAGAUAUCUGGAGGAACACCGGUGGCGAAGGCGGCAUCCUGGACCAAUAUUGACGCUGAGGAGCGAAAGCCAGGGGAGCAAAGCGGGG
rnacentral:rRNA from 1 species